UCGUUUGCUCUCCUCUGCUCCUUUUUCUAUCUCAUCUCCUCCCGUCUACUUUCCAUCCAUUGCCUCUUCUCUUCUUGCUCCUCCCUUCUCCUCUUCUCCUCCUCCUCUUCUCCUCUCCUCUCUCCUCGCUUCUCCUAUGUUCUGUUCAUCUCUGUGAGCGGAUCUGUCUGUCUCAGGAGGUGUUGGCCCGUCCUCCUCUUGGCUCGGCCCAGAAAAAAAAAAACCCUCACACAGAACAAAGAGGGCUGUCGCCAUGCCAGCGCGGGGCACUUUUGUCAUGUGUACUCAUGUGUGACUGGGCUGAGAUCACCCAAACCAAAUGCACCUGAGUCCUCCUUCCCCACCAUUAAAUCACAGCCGACGCUCUGUGCCAAAGUUGAGGAGGACAGGAGCAAUCUCCUUCAGCGUCUCCAUAACCUCGUACGGAAUUGUUCUCGUUUUUUCUCUCUCUCUCUCUCUCUCUUUCUCUGUCAUUGCCACGUUGUAGAUUAUGGUUCAGUCCCUUUUUGUAAUUUUUCAUGUUUGUUACACGCUUGCACACACGCAGCCCCACAUGAGCACACACACACAUACACAGAUGUAGACAAAUACACACACACAUACACAACCAAGCAAACACACACACACACACACACACACACAGUCACAGUCAAACAAACAUAGGCACUCAUGCAUCCAAGCACCUACUCACACACAGACAAACAAACAGUGAACCCCUGCAUACAAAUCUACUUUUUAAUUUUUUUUUUUUUUUAUAAUGACGAUGUAGAAAAGUACAUUAUACCAAGACUUUACAACUAUGCAACGGAAUUGAAUAUUGAAUAGAAUGUGAAUGCUGUCCUUUCACUUGAAGAUUCUAAAGAGAAUGAAUAAUUAAUAUUUUCCGACGCUGAUAUUUAAUGACAUUAAAAUGGCUUUAUCCCCUUUUCUUAUUAAAAGGCACACUUAGUGCAAGCCCAAAAUAAGUCAAUAGGCAGAGGCAGAGGCAGAGGCAGAGACCUUGGCAGAAUGAUGGCUCCCCCAGUCCCUUUUAAAUGAUUAUUUCUUCCUUCUUUGUCAGGGUAAAUGUGGAAUGCCCACGUUUGUUGUGGAACAAAUGACCUUC
ensembl:lncRNA